UACGUAGGAGGCAAGCGUUGUCCGGAAUUACUGGGUGUAAAGCGCGUGUAGGCGGCAGGCCAAGUCUGUGGUGAAAUCGCUCGGCUCAACUGGGCGGGGUCCAUGGAAACUGGUCAGCUGGAGGACGGUAGAGGUGAGUGGAAUUCCCGGUGUAGUGGUGAAAUGCGCAGAUAUCAGGAGGAACACCGAUGGCGAAGGCAGGUCUCUGGGCCACUACUGACGCUGAGAAGCGAAAGCAUGGGGAGCGAACAGG
rnacentral:rRNA from 1 species